GACACCAUAGCCAAGUGGUUAAGGCGACAGAUUAGAAUCGUAUGAGCGAAAUCUGUAUCUGUUUCUCUCUGAGAGCGCAGGUUCGAACCCUGCUGGUGUCG